UUAACUACAGAUACAAAUCAAUUUUUAAUUUACAGACAUAUGAUAAGGUAAGCAAAAGAGGAGUUGAUAAUGCUUUACUUUUAUAUGACAAGGGAUAUAUUUAAGAUUUGCAAACAUGGUGUAUGGUACUUUGAAAAAAAUGGAAUACAAAUAUGAGGUACGGUACUUUUAAAAGAUAAUGGGUGAAGACUGAUGUCAGCAUCAUGGCAACAUGAGUCAUUCCCUUGUUCUCUGCUCUUUGACUUACGACAAAUUAAACAUCCAAUGUCCAAAUAACCAAAUAAAAGUUCCUCUGUACAGCAUAUCAGAACACCCCAAAAUGGGUGGAUUGGACCCCAAGGAGAUUGCAUAGCAAGGGAAGUGGUGGCAGAGGCAGUGAUGGCAGAGAAGGUGACAGCCAGUCCAGCAGUGAGCCAGCAUGACCUUUCUGGCAGAAGAGGCAGAGGGUGAAGGUGGUUAAGUGGAGAUCUGCCUGGCUACUUGCACUGCAGCUGGAGGGACAAGUUGCCUUCUCUGAAGAGUGACCACACUGUCUAGGGGGAAGGAAAGGAAAGGAAAAUUGGCAGACAAAGAGAACCACAGGAAAACAUCUCCUGUUGUUUGACCUAGGGAGGCAAUGGAAAUGCCCUUGGGCCUCUGGGACCCUUCGUUCCCUCACUUUAAGACCCCUUACAAGCUGUAGGCACACCCAAAGCCACAAGUGCUAAUGCUAAGUAUCCCCCUCACCCAACCGUGCUACCACACAUUGCUUUUAUUUUUAUUUUUUAAAAUUAGUGUACUCCCAACCUUAGUGGUGAGUCAGGUUAAGAGAAACCAAAAACUUAUGCUACAGUGCCACCUUCUGGAACACAAAAGGAAGGCUCCCAACUACUACCAACCUGUUGAAUUAUUAGAAUCAAAGUAAACAAAGACCUGCCUAAAUCAAAACAUGUUCACUAUUUUAAGUAAGGCAGCAGGGACACUUCUAUCCUUUACCAUGAAAAGCCAUGCUAAUAUGAUAUCACAAAAAGGGAUAAUUUUCCAUCAACUAAACCCAAAGUUGGAAUAUUGUAAUUUAAAAUAACUGUCAUGAAAAAAUUGAACAAGCUACAUGAAAACUCAGAAAGGCAAUACAAUGAUCUCAGGAAUAAAAUUAAGGAACAGAAGGAGUAAGAAAGAGUACUUUACCAAAGAGAUAGAAAUCCUUAAGAAGAACCAAAAAGAAAUUCUGGAGCUUCCUCAUCAAUAAAUGAGAUGAGGAAAGCAUUAGAAAGCACUGGGCAUAGAACAGAUCAGAUGAAAGAGAGAAUAAGUGAGGUCAAGAUUAGAAAUAUAUAAAUGAUUCAGGUGGAAUAGAAAACUAAGAUUUUUAAAAAGUGAAUAAACACUACAAGAAUGAUCUGACUCCAUUAGAAAAGCCAACAUAAGAGUAAUGGGUAUCAAUGAAAAGAAAAUAAGAAGAAGGAAGCAGAGAGCAUAUUUAAAGAAAUAAUAGUUGAGAACUUCCCAAACCUGAGGAAGGAACUAGAAAUACAACUCCACAAAGCUAAUAGAAUAUCUAAUUAUUACAAAGCAAAGACUCUCUUCAAGACACAUUAUGUUAAGUCUGAUAAAAUUCAAUGAUAAAAAAUUUUAAAGGCAGCCUGGGAAAAAAGGACAGUGACCUACAAAAGAAUCCCCAUUAGACUUUCAGCAGAUUUCUCAGCAGAAACUCUCUCCUAGGUAGGCUAGGAGAGAGUGGAAUGAUAUUCAAAAUAUUGGAAGGGUAGAAACUGCUGGCCAAGAAUACUGCUAGCCAAGAAUACUCUACCUGAUGGCAAAGUUAUCCUUCAAAUAUGAAGAAGAAAUAAAGACUUUAUCAGACAAUCAAAAGCUGAGUGAGUUUAUCACUAGUCCUGCCUUAAGAGAGAUUUCAAAAAGAGCUUUUAGAGCUAAAACAAAAAGAUGAAAUAUACAAAACUGAUUGAUAUGAUAGUCAAAAUUAAAACACCAUAACUAUUUUCUUAGAGUAGUAAACUCUUAACUAUGGCUUAGGGUUACUGGAAAAGAGCAUUAAAAAUAACUAUAGCUACUUCAACUUGUAACAAACUCAUAGCAUAAAAAGAUAAUUUGUAACAUCAAAAAUAUAAAGAUGGAAGAGCAAAAGGAUGGAAUUUUUAUAGGUGAGUGAAGAAAAAUUGCAUCAUCAGAGUAAAGACUAUUUUAUCUAUGAGAGAUUUCAUGUAAACCUCAUAGUAACCACAAAGUGAAAAUCCAGAGCAGAGGCAAAAAACAAAAAAGAGGAGACUGAGGAAAUCACCUUGAAACCAACAACUAUAAAAGUAAACAGGAACAUAAUGAAAAAGAAACAAAAUAACCAGAAGGCAAAAGAUAAAAUGGCAGUAGUAAGUGCUUACAUAUCAAUAAUCACCCUAAAUGUAAAUGGGUUGAAUUUACCAAUUCAAAGCACAGAAUGACUGGCUAGACAGAAAAAACAAACAAACAAAAAAACAAGCAAACAAAACAAGACUCAACUAUAUUCUGCAUGUAGGUUACUCAUUUCAGUUCUAAAGACUCAUACAGGCUCAAAGUGAAAGAAUAGAAGAUGAUAUUCCAAACAAACAGACACAAAAAUACAGUGGGUGUAGUCAUACAUAUAUUAGACAAAAUAGACAUCAAGCCAAAAAAA
ensembl:lncRNA